rnacentral:rRNA from 1 species
AUGGAAGCUCCGGCCAUGGCUGCACCGCGAGGCGCCCUGCAGAGCCCGCUCCUCGGCGACGACACGACGGUGUCGCUGGACGCGACCCCGCGCCGCCGUUCCUGCGCUGCGCUGGCCAUCGCAGUGGCCCUGCUCGCCCUGGCCGGCGUCCUGCUGCUGCUCCUGGGCCCCGGCGCUGAGACCGACCGUAGUGUGAGGCUGGGCCGGCACGAGGUGGUGUCCGGGGCGGGCGCGGUGGCUGCCGACGACGGACGGUGCUCGGAGGUGGGGGCCGCGGCGCUGCGUGCCGGCGGGCACGCGGUGGACGCAGCCGUGGCGACGGCGCUCUGCCUGGGCGUGGUGCACCCAAUGUCGAGCGGCAUCGGCGGUGGCGCGUUCAUCGUGGUGAGGGACGCGGCCUCCGGCGAUGCCGUCGCCUUCGACGCCCGCGAGACCGCGCCGGCCGCGGCCACGCCGACUAUGUACGCCGCCGACCCGAUGUCCAAGUUCAAGGGCGCGCUUGCCAUGGGCGUCCCCGGGGAGCUCGCGGGCCUCCAUGCCGCGUGGUCGAGCUACGGGCGUCUGCCGUGGAACUCCCUCUUCGUGCCGGCGAUCAAGCUCGCGCGCGACGGCUACACCGUCGUGCCCUACGUCGCCAACGCGCUCAAGGCAGUGGAGGCCAACGUGCUUGCCGACCCCGGCCUGCGUGCCGUGUUCGCGCCGGAGGGGCAGGUCCUGGGCGCCGGCGCACUCUGUCGCAACCCGGCGCUCGCGGACACGCUGGAGGCCGUGGCGGAGCACGGCAUCUCGGUGCUCUACGGUGGCGCCGUCGGGGAGAGGCUCGUGGAGGACGUGAGGAGAGGUGGAGGGGUGGUGACGAUGGAUGAUCUGAACGGGUAUAGGGUGGAGGCCAGCGCCGCCUUGCGUGCCGACGCCAUGGGGUUCACCUUCCUUGGCAUGCCGCCGCCGUCCAGCGGCACCGUCGGAAUGGCACUGGUAUUGAACAUCUUGGGUGGGUACAAGUCGGCGGACUUUCUCAAAGGAUUUUUAGGCGUGCACCGGCUGAUCGAGGCGGUUAAGCACAUGCUGGCCGUCCGGAUGAACCUCGGCGACCCUGGCUUCGUCAACGCCGCUGGGAUCGUCUCCAAGAUGCUGUCGCCGGUGUUCGCCGAUAAGGUCCGGCAAAGGAUCGCCGACAACACCACUUUCCCUCCGGCCUACUACCUCCCAAAGUGGAGCCAGCUGCGUGACAAUGGCACGAGCCACCUGUGCGUGGUGGACGGCGACCGGAAUGCAGUGGCGAUGACAACGACGGUGAACUACUACUUCGGCGCACAGGUCCUCUCGCCGUCCACCGGCAUCGUGCUCAACAACGAGAUGGACGACUUUUCGGUGCCGUCAUCGUACCCGACCCCCCACCACCUCCCACCGGCGCCGGCCAACUUCAUCGCGGGGGGAAAGCGGCCGCUCUCAUCGAUGACACCGACGAUCAUCCUCAAGGAUGGGCAGCUGGCUGGCGUGGUGGGCGCAAGUGGCGGCACCAACAUCAUCGCGGCGGUGACACAGGUUUUCCUAAACCACUUCGUCCUCGGGAUGAACCCUCUCGCUGCCGUGCAGAGCCCAAGGGUGUACCAUAGUCUCGUGCCGAAUGUUGUGCGGUACGAGGACGAGACAGUGGUCGAUGGCGAGGUCAUCGAGCUCAAAGCAGAGGCGAGGGAGUUUUUGCGGAGGAGGGGUCAUGUGCUCAAGGGCACUGUGUGGUCAGCCGUGUGCCAGAUGAUAGUGCAAGACUUGCAGGCGCCAGUGUCAAGCGGCAGCGAGAACGUCUUCCACGGGAUGCUGACGGCCGUGAGCGAUCCAAGGAAAGACGGUAGCCCUGCCGGAGUAUGA